rnacentral:lncRNA from 1 species
UAAGGAAAAAUAAGAAAUAUUGGUGACGGUAGAGAGGAAUAUUUGAAAAGACCAAAAGUCAAAAUACUUUUUGUGCCUCUGACUUUAAGGGCAAAUAAGAAAGUCGGUGAUGGUGUGGAAGGGUAUAUUUGAAAGGGUAAAAUAGUAAUUUUACAGAGUUAACAGAGUUCAUUAACAAAUUUUAACUCUAGGGGUAUAUUAGAAAAAGUUUGGAACGUAAAGAGGGUAUUUUCAAUAUUAGCCUUCUAAGAGGGGUAAAUCGGAAAGUCGAAAACUUCUCAGGGGUAUAUAAGCAAUUG